UAAGCUUGUAUCACCAGUUUUCCUAAUGGAAGAGGCUCCCCAGGGGACGUUCCAAGAUGAACUGGAGUGGUGCAUCUCCCAGCUGGAGACGGGCCUCCUACGUCUCAACCCAACUCCAGAGCAAGGGUGCUCCGCUCGACCAAGGCUCCUUCUGUGAAAAAGCGGCAGGUGAUGCACCGGGCCUUCGGCGACUACCGGCUCAAGAUGACCGAGGAGUUGAAGAGAGCAGGCAAAGCAGUUGUGAAGUCCGAGAAGGUGCAAAUUCAGCC